GUCCGAUCGCGCGUCUUCCGCGUUGCCAGACGCAUUUGUCUCUCGUCCGAAGGACGCUGCAGCCGGUCGGGCAGAGCAAGCGCGACGGCCUGAAGGACGGGAAAUGGCAGGUGGCCGGUGGCGUGCUUCGGCGCGUCGCCGGUUGUUAGCCGUCCCGUCGGUGGCUCGUCGCCCGACCGAGGUGUCGCGAGGCCCUCGGGCCUCCUCGUCUCCUCUCCCAGAUGAUGCGGGACAGACCGUCGCAGGCGAACUCCGCCGUCCCGUCGCACUCCCUCGGAGUGGGCGGGCGAACGGAGGGCGCCGUUGGUGACGGCGGACCCGUGGGAGGUCGGAGGCUGGCAGCGAGUAGGUCGGUCACCCACCCGACCCGUCUUGAAACACGGACCAAGGAGUCUAACAUGUGCGCGAGUCAAUGGGUCUUGAACAGGCCCAGGGGCGCAAUGAAAGCGAAGGUCGGCCCGAGCCGACCGAGUCGGGAUCCUCUCCCCUCGGGGGGAGGCGCACCGACGACCCGUCCUAUCCGGCUCGCCGGUUGGGCGGAGUGUGAGCGUACACGUUGGGACCCGAAAGAUGGUGAACUAUGCCCGGACAGGACGA
rnacentral:rRNA from 1 species